rnacentral:sRNA from 1 species
CCUCUUUGAUGUACUUGUUGAAC